rnacentral:rRNA from 1 species
UUUAAAUGAAGACCAGAACAAAAGAUUAAACGUUUAAAUUUAUAUCUCUACUUAAGAUAUUCAAACUUAUCUUAAAUGUAAAAAGACAUUUAUUUAAAAGAAAGACGACAAGACCCUAUUAAACUUUACUAAAGUUAAAUUGGGGUAAUUAAUUAAUUAACAUUUUAAUUUAAUAAAUAAAUAAAUAAAUGAUCCAAUCUUAUUGACAAUUGAUCAAGUUACUAUAGGGAUAACAGCGUAAUAAUUUUCUAAAGACCUUAUAUAAAUAAAAGUUUACGACCUCGAUGUUGAAUUAAUAACCUUUAUAGAGCAAUAGCUAAAAAAGGAAGUCUGUUCGACUUUUAAACAAUUACAUGAUUUGAGUUCAGACCGGUAUAAGCCAGGUCGGUUUCCAUCUUCUAAAUAAUCCUUACAGUACGAAAGGGCCUAAGGUAAUAA